GAUGAACGCUGACAGAAUGCUUAACACAUGCAAGUCUUUGGCGAAGCUGUGCUUGCACAGCCUAGCCAAGGCGGACGGGUGAGUAACGCGUAAGGAACUUGCCCUGCAGUCAGGGAUAACAGACGGAAACGACUGAUAAGACCUGGUAAAGUCAGGCGGACUCAUGUCCAGCCUGAUGAAAAGAGAUGCUGCAGGAGAGCCUUGCGUCCUAUUAGCUUGUUGGCGGGGUAACGGCCCACCAAGGCGAUGAUAGGUAGCCGGCCUGAGAGGGUGGACGGCCACAAGGGGACUGAGAUACGGCCCUUACUCCUACGGGAGGCAGAAGUGGGGAAUAUUGGACAAUGGGGGCAACCCUGAUCCAGCAAUUCUGUGUGCACGAUGAAGGUUUUCGGAGUGUAAAGGGCUUUCAGCGGGGAAGAAAAAAAUGACGGUACCUGCAGAAGAAGCGACGGCUAAAUACGUG
rnacentral:rRNA from 1 species